AAAAGCAAACACUCUGAUCUUAGUCCAUUCUUCAGAUGAGAAAAUUUGCUUCCCCCAAGGGGUGUUGCAUUAGGAACAAACAAAGUUUGUAUUUCAGACUCCUGUAUUUCUAAACCCUGCCUCUGCAGGCUGGUUGUGUAGGCUGAGGCCUGGCUGGUUUUCCACAUUUUGGACUCUUGCUGCCCUGAAAUGGUUCCUCUGCUGCCCAAAUAAAGUGCAACUGCAGCAGAGAGAAGGAAACCCUACAGAGAACCUAAUUUCAGUAAGAUAAGUUAGGAACUGCUGAGCAAUAAUUGGCAACCUUUUCCUUUGUAGAGUGUUCUUUGCCACAGCCUCUAAGUGCUGAUGCUAUGGGCACUGCCAAGAAGGAACAAGGACCCUUGGGGAAAGAUCAAUUGAUUUGGGAUCAUCUUUUAUGUUGCAACCUAAUUACAGAAAUGUAUCUGGUACAUACAGUGCCGCACAAGCUGCAAAGAGGAGGACUUUGCUGGUGCUCAGUGGAAGGAGGCACCCAGCUGCACUGAGGGCACUGAAUGACUGCAGUGCUUUUAACACAAAGGCUGAGCUUGCAGCCCUGAUAUGCCUUAGUGGGUUCAAAUCCUUUUCAGAGUCAUCCUGGGAAAAUCACAUCAUUUUUAUGGCCAAGAUCCUCAAGGAAUUUGGGUUUCUCAACCUAUUCAUAAAUUAUUCCUUUUGUCUAGAUUCCCUUUUCUUUAGGUACGAAUUUAUCAGGGUAAGGUAAGGUCUUCUACGAGAUACACAGGACUCUGGCUCCUUGAUUUUGAGUGCUGUGCUGUUGUAGUAUCAGUAACUUCCUUUAUCAUUACCUUUUCUAAGGAGCUGUCUCUGUUCUAGCAGUGUUGCGUGGAACAGGCAUGUACCUGGGGCAGAGGUUUUGCCCUUAUCUCAGUAGUAUUAUUACAGUAAUGGGUGUAAAAAAUAACAUUUUUGGAGAGACUGUAGCCCAUCUUUGCAUCCUGUUGUAUUAGACUUGCUUAAGUACAUAUGGUCACACUCCCAUCUAGCGGCUGCUGCAUGCGGAGACUAACUCAAGGUCUGCCUGGCUGGAAUGAGAGGGCAAGUUGUCUUUUAGAUCCAAACUUCCCCUCCAGCCCCUUUUAUCCAUUAUUCAUAAGUCGUAGUGCUAACAGCCUCUGCAGCAAGGCCAGUGGCUUACAACUGCCUUGCAGCCCCCAGCAGAUGCAAGGGCAGUAGAGCAAACCCUGAUGAUUCUGGGUCUUGUUAGGCUACUGUUAGUAAUGUGAUGGAUGCCUCCACUAAAAUCUGUCAAAGCAGACACUUAUCUGUCUCUCUGUCCUUAUCAAGCCUCCUUUGUUCCUCCAUCAGUCUGUGCAGCUGGGAUUUUGAUCUGAAGAGUCCUUUUUGUAACCUCUGUGAUAGAGGUGUUGAUCUGCUUAGCUUCAAUCUCUCUUUGAAUGGACAAGGGAUAAUCUCUUUAGAACAAGUAGGGCAGUGAAGGGGCAGGGCAUGUACUGAGCUAGGGAAGAACAAUCUAAAACACCAAGCUUCAUCAUUUGUUGGAAAAUGAACUUCCCCACCGUGUUUGGAUUAAAGGUGAUACAACACAACACAUCAAAAGGUUGUGUACAAAGACCCUGGGUCUGGCUGCAGAUGUGGCUUCUCUGCUCCCUGGCCAGUUUAAAAGAAGGUAUCUUAGUCCUGAGCUGAUCGGCCCUUGGCCCAUUGCCUGCAAAGUGUUGUGGGUACAGUUUACCAUGGGAGUGAUGAUACCAGAGUGUUGCAGGUGGGCUUUUAGAGGUGUUCAGUGUUGGUCUAAAUCACCUAUGGACUGGCUUAACCAUCAUAAUUGGAACUCACUGUGUGUCUUAGAUCUCAGCUGGGAUUUUAACCACUGUCCAAAUGAUAAUUUGAGGGUUUUAACGUCUAUUUCCUCUUGUGCAGGUUUACGCCUUGUGAGGGACUUUUUGCACAGCAGGGGAUGUGUGUAGGUCAUGAGCGCUCCCUGUGUUCAUUUUCCUGUUGCAAAUGAGACUGAUAUGGCUGAGCAGCUCUUUCUCACAAAUGCAGUCAGCGUUGAAUGCUGCUGCUUCAAGGUGAGGGCUGAGCUAAGAAGAGGAAGGAAGAUGUGACAUGCUAUGAGAUGGAGGAAGCUGUAACUUGAGUUUGCCCCUGCUGUCAGAGAGACAGCAGAAGAUGAAGGAUUGCAGUGACUGCCACUGCUUGCAGGGACCACAGCAACAACUGCUUCACAUGCCCUCACCCCCCUUCAAGCAGCAGCUGCCACCACAGCAGUAAUCAGUUUUGCACAGUACAGGUAUGUUAAGUGCACAGAAGAAUAAGAAACAUCCAUAUGAGGAAGCUGGUAUGUUACAUACUUCUGCAGCCACUACAUCAGGUCUCUCCAUGCAAUGGCUGGCCAGCCGUAAGGAAAACAAAGAGUCAGCAAGUUAACCAGCAGCAGAGGAAUGAGCUCAUCAGUGUUUGCUGUGGGAAAGGACAGACCCUACCAACUUCUGCUCUGGGAGCCCAGGUGGAAAAUUGGCCAUGAAACCAGGUGGAGAGGCUUCUGUCAAGGAACCUACUUUAAAGGGCUAGUAAAGAUGAUGCUUUGAAGACAAGAUUAUGCUGUUAAAACCUCCCACCUAACAGACCAGCUAUUCACCUAUGUACUCUCAACAGGAGGAUGAAAACUGGUUGAUACCCCAG